UUUCAAAUUUUGCCGGCCGCCCUCUGUAUCGGGUUCUCUUUUUUGGCUGGCGUUCAGCACGUUCGGUGCCAUGGUAGAAGAAUACAGGUAGUCGCAUCGACACAGCUGCUGGGACAAUGAACUGUCAAACCGAUUUUGGAAUUGAAAAUGUUGAAUGAAAAAUUAUUAAAAUUUUUAAAAAUUGUUGAAAAAUGUAUUGUAUAAUAACCUCUGAUUUUCAUCGUAUAAAAAUAUUUAAAAAUCGACAUAUUUUUUCAUGAAACAUUUUAAAAUUUUUGACAUAUCAAUGUUCCCAAGCUUUGAUGCAUCUACCUAUAUUCUUCUACCAUGUUCGGUGCAUUAAAUUGCACAUUAUAAAAAUUCAUACUGGGAAUGAACGCAAUAAAACUUCACCACUUUAGUAAAAAAAUAAAGAAAGCGGUGAUGUGCGUGAAUCCUUACAUCCAUUCGUAGACGGAAUAUAAUAUUGUGGAGCCAAAAAUUUGGUGGAUUAACCCACAAUCGUACAAAUAAUCCAUGAGUGGGACUCGUGAAUAUCGUUGGAAGAAAUGGAAAACGCAAAACGUGGAAACAAAUAUUUGUUUAACUUUCUUACAAUGGUAACUUCGCCCACAAAAUUUAUGAAAAGAAGAGAGUGCAUUUGGGCAUCUUGUAAUAUAACCCAGAAAAUGCAUGUAAGGGGUUGAUUCUACCCGUUGGGCGACGAGCCUAAAAGCAACAUCUUGUUAUUUUUUGCAUUUGUAACCGGCCAUGCUUGUGUAUAUAAAUUAAAGUGAAAGUUAUAUUUAAAAUUGGCAGUGCAUCUGCCUGAAACUGUUUUUGUGUGUGUCUUUGAUAUGAGAAAAAAUAAUAUGAAUUGCCAGAUUUUGUAUCUAUUGUUAGCUUCCCGGAUCGGUACUGUCGCCUGUUUUUUUCACUGGCCGUUUCCCAGCUGUUUCCAGCUUCUGUCAGUUUCCGGGUUCUUUUCUGGGCCUGGAACCUCGGUUCCGCGCCUGGCGAUUCAAAAAACGAUUGUUGGGGAUGCCCGCUCUUUUCUCGUUUAAGUCGGAUGUCGUUAUCCAAUUGUGGAUUUAUGCGCGGCGUUAUUUCCCUAAUUAAAACACACAAAAAUUUAACACAACAUAUCCGACAUAACACCACUUAUACAUUGUUUAGAUACGCCACACAAAUAAAACACACGAAUAGUAA